AGGCCGCGGUAAUACGUAUGGUGCAAGCGUUAUCCGGAUUUACUGGGUGUAAAGGGAGCGCAGGCGGUGCGGCAAGUCUGAUGUGAAAGCCCGGGGCUCAACCCCGGUACUGCAUUGGAAACUGUCGUACUAGAGUGUCGGAGGGGUAAGCGGAAUUCCUAGUGUAGCGGUGAAAUGCGUAGAUAUUAGGAGGAACACCAGUGGCGAAGGCGGCUUACUGGACGAUAACUGACGCUGAGGCUCGAAAGCGUGGGGAGCAA
rnacentral:rRNA from 1 species